rnacentral:rRNA from 1 species
UACGUAGGGAGCAAGCGUUGUCCGGAAUCAUUGGGCGUAAAGCGCGUGUAGGCGGUCCGGUAAGUCCGCUGUGAAAGUCGGGGGCUCAACCCUCGGAUGCCGGUGGAUACUGUCGGGCUUGAGUACGGAAGAGGCGAGUGGAAUUCCCGGUGUAGCGGUGAAAUGCGCAGAUAUCAGGAGGAACACCGGAGGCGAAGGCGGCUAUCUGGCCGAAUACUGACGUUGAAGCACGAAAGCGUGGGGAGCAAACAGG